UACGUAGGGCGCAAGCGUUGUCCGGAAUUAUUGGGCGUAAAGAGCUCGUAGGCGGUUUGUCGCGUCUGCCGUGAAAGUCCGGGGCUCAACUCCGGAUCUGCGGUGGGUACGGGCAGACUAGAGUGAUGUAGGGGAGACUGGAAUUCCUGGUGUAGCGGUGAAAUGCGCAGAUAUCAGGAGGAACACCGAUGGCGAAGGCAGGUCUCUGGGCAUUAACUGACGCUGAGGAGCGAAAGCAUGGGAGCGAACAGG
rnacentral:rRNA from 1 species